AAAAACUGAAGCACUAAUCCCAAGAUGACUACUGAGAGGCAGAAUGUGGGUUCUCCAAUAAUUGGUGGUCAUGGAGUAGAUAUUGCAGAUUGUAAAGAUCCAUUCAGUGCCAUUUGGAUUCCUUGGAUGAUCUGAUGUCAGAUACUGACAUGGAAAAUGGGAUAUUACUACCUAUCAAAAAAUCGCAUGCAACAUCUUCAGUCCCUUUAUUAGCAGGCUGAAAGACAUCUGCAGAUGGUGACUAUAGCCAGGAAAUUAUAAGAAAUUCACAUCUUUGAAGAAAAGAUAUAGAAGAUCUGGAUAAGUCAAAGCUGUGGUUUUCCCAGUAAUAAAAUAUGUCUACAGAGAA